GCCUCAGUAGCUUAACCCUUAAAGCGUUGGUCUUGUAAACCAGAGAAUGAAGAUUAAACUCUUCCCGAAGCU
rnacentral:tRNA from 1 species